ensembl:lncRNA
UGCUGCAGUUACAAACACGCCACAAGGUCUGGCUUUCUACACGGGUGCCCGGGAUCUGACCUCGGGUCCUCAGCUCUUCCUGCUUUCAAGGCGUUAAGGUACAAAGACUAAAUAAACACUCAUCACGACCCUCGAGGAUACAACAGACUAACGGAGGAGGCAGAUGAAGCCAGUGCAGGAUGCCUAGCAUUGCCAGCCAGAAGAUUUCGCCACACAGUUACAUGGAGUGGGCUGCUCUGUUUGGCUUCACCCCUGGGAGACGUGCGGCAUCCCCAGUCGGCUCUCCCGCUUUCACAGAUUGGGAUCUAGUCGUCGUUCACCAUGUUACAGAGCAUAAAUCCAAGCCACUGAUUUAAAAAAAGAAAAAGAAAGAAAGAAACGUGGACAUUUGGGAGUCAACCUAACUGGAAAAAAAUGGAAGUCCAGACACUGAACCAUGAAGACGAGGAGUGCAUGAGAUGGCAGAGGAAGGCACAAACUGUGAGCAGGGGACCCACAGAGGACGCAAGAAUCUUGAAGCUUUGUAGACAGCACGGACCCAGGACAGCUGGUGGAGAGUGGGAAGGGGAUUACAACAACUCUUGCAAGCCUUGCUGUCUCACAGAGCUAGGCCUCCAUGGCUGUCCUGGUGAACCACGGCUCAGCCUGAGCUCUGUUUUUGCGUGAAGGUCACUUGGACCCCUUCUCCAGAAUCUUCUUCUCCAAGGUGGAAGUUGUGUGGACACAAAUGACUACUCUCCUGACAGGCACACAGUAAGAAAUAAAGAAUGACUUUUCUUUCACAGGCUUCAACCUCACUGCAUGGCUUGUCACUGGCUGAAACAAUGACAAAGACAUUGUGCCCUGCUCCUUCUCCCCUUAGCUUGGUCCCUACUACUAGUUCUGGGAGCUGUGUACUUGGAUUCCAAUUUACAACCACGAUAGUGAGAGGAAUAAUGAUUACCUUCAUGUUUCUCAACAUUUGCCCAAGCAUUUAUAUCAUGAAGUAAUUUUCAUUAAGACGAACCAUUUUCACUUACGGAUAGAUUUCUUUGUUUUGUUUGAGACGCUAUCUUACUAUGUAGCUCUAGUUAGGCUGUAACUCAC